rnacentral:rRNA from 1 species
CGGGUGAGUAAUGCUUGGGAAUCUGGCCUAUGGAGGGGGAUAACUACGGGAAACUGUAGCUAAUACCGCGUAGUGUCGAGAGACGAAAGUGCGGGACCGAAAGGCCGCAUGCCAUGAGAUGAGCCCAAGUGGGAUUAGGUAGUUGGUGGGGUAAAGGCCUACCAAGCCUGCGAUCUCUAGCUGGUCUGAGAGGAUGGCCAGCCACACUGGAACUGAGACACGGUCCAG